rnacentral:lncRNA from 1 species
AAGAUGGUUCUGAGAGUUCCUUCUUUUGACAGGGACACCAGGGACUGCUGACCAUGCAACUUCAAUCACCCAUGUCGUCUAGCACCGUCCAGAAAGAUUCAUACGGACCCCCAACAAAAGCCUAUCAGCCACUUCGAGGGAAGCGUGAAGCUAUGCUGGAGAUGCUCCUGCACCACCAGAU